rnacentral:rRNA from 1 species
UACAGAGGGUGCGAGCGUUGUCCGGAAUCACUGGGCGUAAAGGGCGCGUAGGCGGCUCGGUCAGCGUGCGGUGAAAGCCCGGGGCUCAACCCCGGGUCGGCCGUGCGAACUGCCGAGCUGGAGCACUGUAGAGGCAGGUGGAAUUCCGGGUGUAGCGGUGGAAUGCGUAGAGAUCCGGAAGAACACCGGUGGCGAAGGCGGCCUGCUGGGCAGUUGCUGACGCUGAGGCGCGAAAGCGUGGGGAGCGAACAGG